rnacentral:rRNA from 1 species
GACGAAGGAUCCAAGCGUUAUCCGGAUUUAUUGGGUUUAAAGGGUGCGUAGGCGGAUUGAUAAGUCAGUGGUGAAAGCCUGCAGCUUAACUGCAGAACUGCCAUUGAUACUGUCAAUCUUGAAUAUGGUUGAUGUGGGCGGAAUAUGACAUGUAGCGGUGAAAUGCUUAGAUAUGUCAUAGAACACCAAUUGCGAAGGCAGCUCACAAAGCCAUUAUUGACGCUGAGGCACGAAAGCGUGGGGAUCAAACAGG